CCGCCUACAGGACGCAGCAGUAGGGAAUAUUGCUCAAUGGGGGAAACCCUGAAGCAGCAACGCCGCGUGGAGGAUGAAGGUUUUCGGACUGUAAACUCCUUUUGUUAGAGAAGAUAAUGACGGUAUCUAACGAAUAAGCACCGGCUAACUCCGUGCCAGCAGCCGCGGUAAUACGGAGGGUGCAAGCGUUACUCGGAAUCACUGGGCGUCAAGAGCGCGUAGGCGGGGUAUCAAGUCAGAUGUGAAAUCCU
rnacentral:rRNA from 1 species